AUGGAGAAGAGAUCUAUUUCUCUUUUAAAUAUUGUGAUGAUUUUAGGCAUGUUAGUAACAACAUUACAUGCACGUCAAAUUGAUGUUAUUACAUGUCCUGAUGCUCUUUUAUCUUUGCUUCCAUGUCUUCCUUAUUUGCAAGGAACCGGCCCUGCUACACCAACUAGUGCUUGUUGUGCAGCAAGAUUUGGAGUUAAUCCCGACAGAUCAAAACAAUUGCCAAGCCUUUGUAAAAUUAAUCUUUAUGUCUCAUUUGAUCCUAGCAUCGAUUGCAACACGUAA